UACGUAGGGGGCAAGCGUUGUCCGGAUUUAUUGGGCGUAAAGCGCUCGCAGGUGGUUCAUUGCGUCGUGCGUGAAAGACCCCGGCUCAACUGGGGAGGGUCGUGCGAAACGGGUGAACUAGAGGCCAGUAGGGGGGAUGCGGAAUUCCGGGUGUAGUGGUGGAAUGCGUAGAGAUCCGGAGGAACACCAGCGGCGAAGGCGGCAUCCUGGACUGGUCCUGACACUCAGGAGCGAAAGCGUGGGGAGCGAUCCGG
rnacentral:rRNA from 1 species